rnacentral:tRNA from 1 species
UGGCCCGUGGUGUAAUCGGUAACACACCUGGUUUUGGUACAGGCAUUCCAAGUUCAAGUCUUGGCGGGCCAG